CCUGGCUGCACCUCUCUUAGACCCCAUUUAAGGGCUGACUGCCAGUAGGGAAGGAUCUCUUCAUCUGUGAACCUGGAAUCUUCUGAUACAGGAGCGCAAGUCACAUAUAUUUCAGUAUAACUCCUCAUAUGCACAUUUAAAUCAGAGGAAGCAUGACUUAUUUUUAAUCAGGGGAAAGACUGAAACAAUUCCACUUAGAAGGAGGUUACAAACAGGCUGAGUAUUGCAGCUGGCUGGAAAAAGUUUGUGCUCUGCAGGGCUAAGAUUUGACUCCAAAGCAAGACAUACUUUAUUCCUGUUUCUGAACUUGCACAUCCCUGGCUGAUCAUCUAACUUCCUUCAGCCUCUGGAUUUGGAGAACUCCCCCAGGGCUGUAGCACUCUGUCAUAGCCACAAGACUGGCUCCUCCUCUUGAGAAGUAUAUGUUCUACUCAUCAGUUCUAGAUGGAUAUCAAUAAGUUGUGAUAUUGUGUUUUCUUUUAGUACUCAUUCGUACAAACAUGUCAAGUGUAAAAUGUAAUAAAGAAAAAUUUUCAAACAGAAAAAAAGGAAUAUUUGUUUUAGAAUCAGUAACCAGAUCCUUAAUUUUGCAUAAGUUUAAGCAGGAAAGAGUUCACUGAAACAGAGCCAGAUUCCUAUGCAACUUGUGUGCAUGAGCAUUUUCUUCACAAUAGGAUGAGGCUUUUGAUAAGAGAUCAAAAUCUACGCUUUCCUUAUUAAAGUACAGAACAGAAGACUUAAUUCUAAAGACUUUGGCUUCUAGGCAGAUUCUUUACAGUCAUAUCUUUUCUUUAGGAGGAAAGGAACUGCAGAGAACAGAAGCAAUAGCUCAUAGUCAAAACAGACUAUAAGAUUUUUUUGCCAAAACUAGCUACUGCUUUUUUCCCAAUACUUGCCAAAAAGUUCAGAGUUAAUAAAGGUUAUUAAUCCAAUUACUUGCCUUCUAUCAGUAUUUUUACCCUUGAAACACAAAGAAUGCUGUCAUGAAAGAGUGUUCCUCAGAUUUUCCUCUCCUCUAUUUGUCUAUGCUUAAAAGUAUAUAUUAGGGUUCAUAUGACAGAUAACAGACAAACCAUAAAUUGCAGGUUAUGUACUUCGCAAUGAGCUCUGGCCUUAGCUAUUCUACACUGUAUAGUAUAAUUACUCUGUGCUGUAGAACAGACAAAAAAAGCAAGAGAUAGAAGGUGUUAAAGAUUUAGCAUUAUCAGAUUGAAAACUGUUGGUAGUCCCAGUAAAAUUGUGCUUUUUAUUGAGGAUUUCUUUAUCUUUAAAAUUUGUUGCCUACCAGUUGUACUAUUAUGAGCAUUAGUUUAGCUGAAACACUCCUCUAUGUAUAUUAUUAGUCAUUCAACAGUCCAAAUCAGCUGUUGUUUUAA